GUGUCAGCCGCCGCGGUAAUACGUAGGGGGCGAGCGUUGUCCGGAUUCAUUGGGCGUAAAGAGCUCGUAGGCGGCUCGGUAAGUCGUUUGUGAAAUCUCCAGGCUCAACUUGGAGCGUGCAGACGAUACUGCUGUGGCUUGAGUCCGGUAGGGGACCACGGAAUUCCUGGUGUAGCGGUGAAAUGCGCAGAUAUCAGGAGGAACACCGGUGGCGAAGGCGGUGGUCUGGGCCGGUACUGACGCUGAGGAGCGAAAGCGUGGGGAGCGAACAGGAUUAGAAACCCGGGUAGUCC
rnacentral:rRNA from 1 species